AUGGGGCGUAGCCAAGUGGUAAGGCAACGGGUUUUGGUCCCGCUAUUCGGAGGUUCGAAUCCUUCCGUCCCA
rnacentral:tRNA from 7 species